GAUGAACGCUGGCGGCGUGCCUAAUACAUGCAAGUCGAGCGAACAGACGAGGAGCUUGCUCCUCUGACGUUAGCGGCGGACGGGCGAGUAACACGUGGAUAACCUACCUAUAAGACUGGGAUAACUUCGGGAAACCGGAGCUAAUACCGGAUAAUAUAUUGAACCGCAUGGUUCAAUAGUGUAAGACGGUUUUGCUGUCACUUAUAGAUGGAUCCGCGCCGCAUUAGCUAGUUGGUAAGGUAACGGCUUACCAAGGCAACGAUGCGUAGCCGACCUGAGAGGGUGAUCGGCCACACUGGAACUGAGACACGGUCCAGACUCCUACGGGAGGCAGCAGUAGGGAAUCUUCCGCAAUGGGCGAAAGCCUGACGGAGCAACGCCGCGUGAGUGAUGAAGGUCUUCGGAUCGUAAAACUCUGUUAUUAGGGAAGAACAAAUGUGUAAGUAACUAUGCACGUCUUGACGGUACCUAAUCAGAAAGCCACGGCUAACUACGUG
rnacentral:rRNA from 1 species